rnacentral:rRNA from 1 species
ACCUCUGGCCAUAGUACCCUGAACAUACCUGAUCUCAUCAGACCUCUGAAGCUAAGCAGGGUAGGGCUUCUAGCACUUAGAUGAGAAAAUGAUUAAGCAGUCGAUGGCA